rnacentral:rRNA from 1 species
AUUGAACGCUGGCGGCAUGCUUUACACAUGCAAGUCGAACGGUAACAGGCCGCAAGGUGCUGACGAGUGGCGAACGGGUGAGUAAUGCAUCGGAACGUGCCCAGUCGUGGGGGAUAACUACUCGAAAGAGUAGCUAAUACCGCAUACGAUCUAUGGAUGAAAGCGGGGGACCGUAAGGCCUCGCGCGAUUGGAGCGGCCGAUGUCAGAUUAGGUAGUUGGUGGGGUAAAGGCUCACCAAGCCAACGAUCUGUAGCUGGUCUGAGAGGACGACCAGCCACACUGGGACUGAGACACGGCCCAGACUCCUACGGGAGGCAGCAGUGGGGAAUUUUGGACAAUGGGCGCAAGCCUGAUCCAGCAAUGCCGCGUGCAGGAAGAAGGCCUGCGGGUUGUAAACUGCUUUUGUACGGAACGAAACGGCUCUGGUUAAUACCCGGGGCUAAUGACGGUACCGUAAGAAUAAGCACCGGCUAACUACGU